UACGUAGGGUGCAAGCGUUGUCCGGAAUUAUUGGGCGUAAAGAGCUCGUAGGCGGUUUGUCGCGUCUGCUGUGAAAACUCGGGGCUUAACUCCGGGCCUGCAGUGGGUACGGGCAGACUAGAGUGCGGUAGGGGAGACUGGAAUUCCUGGUGUAGCGGUGAAAUGCGCAGAUAUCAGGAGGAACACCGGUGGCGAAGGCAGGUCUCUGGGCCACUACUGACGCUGAGAAGCGAAAGCAUGGGGAGCGAACAGG
rnacentral:rRNA from 1 species